rnacentral:misc_RNA from 1 species
CGAAAUGCGAUAAGUAGUAUGAAUUGCAGAAUUCAGUGAAUCAUCGAAUCUUUGAACGCAUAUUGCGCCUACUGGUAUUCCGGUAGGCACGCCUGUUCGAGCGUAAUUCAAAACUGUAUCAAGCCUAGUGGCCUGGUAAUGGGUCUUCCGCGAGAGUUAUAAGAUAGCGGGACCUUAAAAACAUAUCUCGAAGGGAUGGUAGUAUUGGUUAUGAUCUCUUCUACCUCUACGCCCUCUCCCCCUCGAGUAGCCUCAAGUUGUUAUUUACCUCGGAUCAGGUGGGAAUACCCGCUGAACUUAAGC